GUUGUGAUGUGUUAAUGUCCUUCUUUCUUUUGAAUUUGUAUUUAAAGAAAGAAAGUUUGAAUUAGAUUCAAAUACUAAAAAUCAACUAGAUAUAAAAGAUAAUUUUUUUAAAAAAAUAAAUAAAAGGUAAUUAAGCAAUUAAAGUAAUUUAACUAGUAAUAAAAUGUAAGUUACUAAUCAGCAAAAUAAAGUAAGAGAAGCAAGAGUGCAAA
rnacentral:lncRNA from 1 species